AAGAUUUGACCGUACUGUAAACCGACACAGGUGAUCAGGUAGAGAAUACCAAGGCGCUUGAGAGAACUUGGGUGAAGGAACUAGGCAAAAUGGUACCGUAACUUCGGGAGAAGGUACGCUCCCUUUGGUGAAGGACUUGCUCCGUAAGCUGAGGGGAGUCGCAGUGACCAGGUGGCUGCAACUGUUUAUUAAAAACACAGCACUCUGCAAACUCGUGAGAGGAAGUAUAGGGUGUGACGCCUGCCCGGUGCCGGAAGGUUAAAUGAUGGGGUUAUCUUCGGAGAAGCUCUUG
rnacentral:rRNA from 1 species